AGGUGCGUUCAUGCCAGAACUAAUGCACCGGAUCCCAUCAGAACUCCGCAGUUAAGCGUGCUUGGGCGAGAGUAGUACUGGGAUGGGUGAGCUCCUCGGAAGUCAUCGUGUUGCACCCC
rfam:Cephalotus follicularis DNA, scaffold: scaffold789, isolate: St1.